ensembl:miRNA xtr-mir-145 xtr-mir-145
ACCUAUUCCUCAAGGUCCAGUUUUCCCAGGAAUCCCUUGGGUGCUGUGGUGGGGAUUCCUGGAAAUACUGUUCUUGGGGUGUAGGC